GACGAACGCUGGCGGCGUGCUUAACACAUGCAAGUCGAACGCUGAAGCUCAGCUUUUGUUGGGUGGAUGAGUGGCGAACGGGUGAGUAACACGUGAGUAACCUGCCUCCUUCUUUGGGAUAACGCCCGGAAACGGGUGCUAAUACUGGAUAUUCACUGGUCUUCGCAUGGGGGUUGGUGGAAAGGGUUUUUCUGGUGGGGGAUGGGCUCGCGGCCUAUCAGCUUGUUGGUGGGGUGAUGGCCUACCAAGGCUUUGACGGGUAGCCGGCCUGAGAGGGUGACCGGUCACAUUGGGACUGAGAUACGGCCCAGACUCCUACGGGAGGCAGCAGUGGGGAAUAUUGCACAAUGGGCGCAAGCCUGAUGCAGCGACGCCGCGUGAGGGAUGGAGGCCUUCGGGUUGUGAACCUCUUUCGCUCAUGGUCAAGCCGCAACAAUGGUUGCGGUGAGGGUAGUGGGUAAAGAAGCGCCGGCUAACUACGUG
rnacentral:rRNA from 1 species